UGGGGAAUAUUGCACAAUGGGCGCAAGCCUGAUGCAGCCAUGCCGCGUGUGUGAAGAAGGCCUUCGGGUUGUAAAGCACUUUCAGCGGGGAGGAAGGCGAUAAGGUUAAUAACCUUGUCGAUUGACGUUACCCGCAGAAGAAGCACCGGCUAACUCCGUGCCAGCAGCCGCGGUAAUACGGAGGGUGCAAGCGUUAAUCGGAAUUACUGGGCGUAAGGCGCACGCAGGCGGUCUGUCAAGUCGGAUGUGAAAUCCCCGGGCUCAACCUGGGAACUGCAUUGGAAACUGGCAGGCUAGAGUCUUGUAGAGGGGGGUAGAAUUCCAGGUGUAGCGGUGAAAUGCGUAGAGAUCUGGAGGAAGACCGGUGGCGAAGGCGGCCCCCUGGACAAAGACUGACGCUCAGGUGCGAAAGCGUGGGGAGCAAACAGG
rnacentral:rRNA from 1 species